rnacentral:rRNA from 1 species
CGGGAACUCUGACACAGGUGCUGCAUGGCUGUCGUCAGCUCGUGUCGUGAGAUGGUUGGGUUAACGUCCCGUAACGAGCGCCAACCCUUGUCCUUAGUUACCAGCACGUUAUGGUGGGCACUCUAAGGAGACUGCCGGUGACAAACCGGAGGAAGGUGGGGAUGACGUCAAGUCAUCAUGGCCCUUACGGCCUGGGCUACACACGUGCUACAAUGGUCGGUACAAAGGGUUGCCAAGCCGCGAGGUGGAGCUAAUCCCAUAAAACCGAUCGUAGUCCGGAUCGCAGUCUGCAACUCGACUGCGUGAAGUCGGAAUCGCUAGUAAUCGUGAAAUCAGAAUGUCACGGUGAAUACGUUCCCGGGCCUU